rnacentral:rRNA from 1 species
AUAUCAAUAAGCGGAGGAAAAGAAACCAACAGGGAUUCCCCUAGUAACGGCGAGUGAAGCGGGAACAGCUCAAAUUUGAAAGCUGGCCUUCUGGUCCGCAUUGUAAUUUGUAGAGGAUGCUUUUGGCGCGGUGCCUUCUGAGUUCCUUGGAACAGGACGCCUUAGAGGGUGAGAGCCCCGUACAGUUGGACACCUAGCCUUUGUAAAGCUCCUUCGACGAGUCGAGUAGUUUGGGAAUGCUGCUCUAAAUGGGAGGUAAAUUUCUUCUAAAGCUAAAUACCGGCCAGAGACCGAUAGCGCACAAGUAGAGUGAUCGAAAGAUGAAAAGCACUUUGAAAAGAGGGUUAAAUAGCACGUGAAAUUGUUGAAAGGGAAGCGCUUAUGACCAGACUUUUUCCUGGCGAAUCAUCCGGCGUUCUCGCCGGUGCACUUCGUCAGGUUUAGGCCAACAUCGAUUUCCGCCGGGGGAUAAAGGCUUCGGGAAUGUGACUCCCCACGGGGAGUGUUAUAGCCCGUUGCGUAAUACCCUGGCGGGGAUCGAGGUUCGCGCUUCGGCAAGGAUGUUGGCAUAAUGGUCAUCAGUGACCCGUCUUGAAACACGGACCAAGGAGUCGAACAUUUGUGCGAGUGUUUGGGUGUUAAACCCUCACGCGUAAUGAAAGUGAACGGAGGUGAGAGCCUUAGGGUGCAUCAUCGACCGAUCCUGAUGUCUUCGGAUGGAUUUGAGUAAGAGCAUAAAUGUUCGGACCCGAAAGAUGGUGAACUAUGCGUGGAUAGGGUGAAGCCAGAGGAAACUCUGGUGGAGGCUCGCAGCGGUUCUGACGUGCAAAUCGAUCGUCAAAUCUGCGCAUGGGGGCGAAAGACUAAUCGA